UGCAUCGGCUGGGAAUCAAACGCCCGCGUGGCAGGCGAGCAUUCUACCACUGAACCACCGAUGG